GACGAACGCUGGCGGCGUGCUUAACACAUGCAAGUCGAGCGGAGCGGCGAACGGGUGAGUAAGGCGUGAGUAACUGCCCCCCUCCCUUGGAUAACAGUUGGAAAGGGCUGCUAAUACCGGAUAGUGGGGGAUGACUCGCGUCCUAUCAGCUUGUUGGGGGGGUAGUGGCCUACCAAGGCGACGACGGGUAGCCGGCCUGAGAGGGCGACAUGCCACAUUGGGCUGAGUUAUGGCCCAAGCUCCUACGGGAGGCAGCAGUGGGGAAUUUUGCACGAUGGGGGAAACCCUUAUGCAGCACCGCCGCGUGCGGGAUGACUGCCUUCGGGUUGUAAACCGCUUUCAGCCAUGACGCGGUAGUGGCAGAAGAAGCACCGGCUAACUACGUGCCAGCAGCCGCGGUAAUAC
rnacentral:rRNA from 1 species